AAAGUCGUAACAAGGUUUCCGUAGGUGAACCUGCGGAAGGAUCAUUAUCGUGGGGCUUCGGCCCUCUCGAGAUAGAACCCUUGCCUUUUUGAGUACCUUUCGUUUCCUCGGCAGGCUCGCCUGCCAAUGGGGACCCCAAUAAACCCUUUGUAAUAGCAAUAUUUGUCUGAAAAACAACCAAUAAUCAAAACUUUCAACAAUGGAUCUCUUGGUUCUG
rnacentral:misc_RNA from 1 species